rnacentral:rRNA from 1 species
UUUGGUGCUUAUUGCAUGAGAGAUACACCUGUUCCCAUGUCGAACACAGCAGUUAAGUCUCAUUACGCCGG